AGCUCCAAUAGCGUAUAUUAAAGUUGUUGCAGUUAAAAAGCUCGUAGUUGAACUUCUGUACAAUCUCAAUACUGGCUUACGUCAGGUUGUUGGUUGUGCAUCCGCUUGCGAAGCUGGUUCGGUCUUCAUUGAUCGGCUAGUAGAGUAAGCCUUUACUUUGAAAAAAUUAGAGUGUUUCAGGCAGGCAUUGGCUCGAAUAC
rnacentral:rRNA from 1 species